AUGUAAGAAACCUUCUGGUGGUUGUGGAUGCCAAGUAUACUCAUGGGACAUUUUGGAAUAACAUUAAUGUCUUAUCUAAGAAGACAGAGGAAGUUAUAAAGCCGCAUUAGUCAGGAGAAAUUGCACAGUCCUGGGAAGUUUCAAACUGCAUCCGCUGAUGCUGUCAGGAAAAUGCCACUGUGCAGGAGCACAGGUGCGAUCGCAUUGACUGCUACUCUUCAUCCUCGGCUCGGGUCAUCCUGGAGGGACGAGUGGAACGAAACGGGGAGGUGGGCGAGAUUCUGUCGGAUGCUUGGGAGCAGUACAGGAGAGAAAAAUGGAAUACCCUCGUCCAGGAGACAAAGAUCGCGCUGUCUGUGAUCUCAGAAAGUGAAUCAGAAGACACAACUUUGAAGAAACUUCAGAAAUAAAUACAAAAUAUUGCUGAAAAACCCUGUAUUGGUAUCUUGCUUUAGAUCAUGGGGGUCCAACUCACUGGUUGCCUGGGCCACACUGAGUGAUGAGUAAUUGUGUAUAAGAUAGACAGUUAAUGUGCUUAUCAUAAUAAAACUUAUUUUUUUAUUCCACAGUCAGUGUGUGGUGGGCAUGAGAGGUGCAGUUAGCCCUACACUGUGCCCUUCCCUCCACAGUGUUCAGUUGUUGCUACACACCAUCAGCCCAUGAAAAAUAUCACCUACAAAUCACAUAAUAAUGUUAAAGUUGACGGUAUUUGGGGGGGCUCAUUACUGGCUGUCCCAGGGCUGUGUGUGGCAUGUGGGCUCGGGGUUGGACGUGUUUGAUAUAGAUGGCAUUUAUUAUCAGUCACUGCUGCUAUGAUGGUGAUAGAACAGGCUGAAUGAUGAUGUUGUUUCUUCUCUUCUAGUCUGUAAAUCAUUAAUUACCAUGUCAUUCUAAUAGAAGCAACUAGAAAUGAAGAAAUGAACCUGACAGUCAAGCAUGAGCAAUGCUACCUGUUGUAAUGGUAUCCAAUUUGAGUGGUUGAAUGUGAAGUUACAGAUUGAAAAACACACAGAAAUAGAUUCCCUUAGGAUAAUAUGUUUCUGUAUCAAUAGCAAAAUGAAAUUUCAUAUUUUACUUUUCCCAUUCAGAUCAUGUACCGAAACAGCGUUGCUAUCCCUUUACCUGACAUCUAACAUAAAAGCUUUCUUUCUAGACUUACUUAUAUUCUUUUGUAUUCCAACCUACCACUCAUUGCAAGGAUACCUUGCUGUUAUGCCCAGAAUUUCUUAAACUAAAACAGUACCACCUGUAAUAUGUGGAUAAGCAUCAAAAGCAACUGUGAGGUUCUUUAUUUUCAUUUUUAUUUCUUAAUAUUAAACUGUUGAAAAAAGAAUGCAUGAAUAUUGAGAAAGAAAAUUAGGAAGCAACAAAGCAGAUCCUUGUAAAUUCAAAGCUACGAUUUAUCAGACAUUAUCCAUAUUAGGAGAUUAAAGUAUUGGUUUUUAAAGCUUCGUGAGGAUUGUGAGUAUUAAUUAUAAUGUUUCUGUUACUCGUCUUGAAACAUAAGAAGUAUUUAGUGUAGCAUAUUUUAAUGCUGUCAUGUUGCAUAGUAACUCUUUGUAUUGGUUAAAGAAAUCCUCAAUGAGUUAAACAGACUGCACAGCUUUGCAAGUGAGAAGCUUGUCAGUAACACCUAAAAUCAGACAGUAUCUAGGACAUCAAAUAUAACGUCAAUAAAUAGUUUAUGUGUUUAUGUUAGCGUAGGCUAAUACAUGACGUGAUAUUUCUAAUAAAGGAAAAGAUAUAAACCUCAAAUUUUAUGAAUGCACAGACUGUAAAGUUGAGUGGGCUGUGCAAGAGAGGUCGCUCAUAGUGGAAGAUUUUUAUGAUCAGUUUGUUAAAGUUCUUAGUAAUCUAAUUUCACAGUGGCUUCUUAGUUUUUUCAGUACCCACAUCUCAUGUGGUAUUAUGGAUUCAGAAAAGGGAAAAAUGGUGUUUUAACUUAGAGAACAGGGCAUAGUUCUUCUCCACUAGGAGUGUGGUUAGGUCCUGGCACAGGCUGCCCAGGGAGGUUGUGGAUGCCCCGUCCUUGGAGGUGUUCAAGACCAGGUUGGGCUGGGCCCUGGGCAACCUGAUCUAGUAAAGGUG